CAGGCUUAACACAUGCAAGUCGAGGGGCAGCAUUUCAGUUUGCUUGCAAACUGGAGAUGGCGACCGGCGCACGGGUGAGUAACACGUAUCCAACCUGCCGAUAACUCGGGGAUAGCCUUUCGAAAGAAAGAUUAAUACCCGAUGGUAUAAUCAGACCGCAUGGUCUUGUUAUUAAAGAAUUUCGGUUAUCGAUGGGGAUGCGUUCCAUUAGGCAGUUGGUGAGGUAACGGCUCACCAAACCUUCGAUGGAUAGGGGUUCUGAGAGGAAGGUCCCCCACAUUGGAACUGAGACACGGUCCAAACUCCUACGGGAGGCAGCAGUGAGGAAUAUUGGUCAAUGGGCGCAGGCCUGAGCCAGCCAAGUAGCGUGAAGGAUGACUGCCCUAUGGGUUGUAAACUUCUUUUAUAUGGGAAUAAAGUUUUCCACGUGUGGAAUUUUGUAUGUACCAUAUGAAUAAGGAUCGGCUAACUCCGUGCCAGCAGCCGCGGUAAUACGGAGGAUCCGAGCGUUAUCCGGAUUUAUUGGGUUUAAAGGGAGCGUAGGUGGACAGUUAAGUCAGUUGUGAAAGUUUGCGGCUCAACCGUAAAAUUGCAGUUGAUACUGGCUGUCUUGAGUACAGUAGAGGUGGGCGGAAUUCGUGGUGUAGCGGUGAAAUGCUUAGAUAUCACGAAGAACUCCGAUUGCGAGGGGCAGCUCACUGGACUGCAACUGACACUGAUGCUCGAAAGUGUGGGUAUCAAACAGGAUUAGAUACCCUGGUAGUCCACACAGUAAACGAUGAAUACUCGCUGUUUGCGAUAUACAGUAAGCGGCCAAGCGAAAGCAUUAAGUAUUCCACCUGGGGAGUACGCCGGCAACGGUGAAACUCAAAGGAAUUGACGGGGGCCCGCACAAGCGGAGGAACAUGUGGUUUAAUUCGAUGAUACGCGAGGAACCUUACCCGGGCUUAAAUUGCAUUUGAAUAUAUUGGAAACAGUAUAGCCGUAAGGCAAAUGUGAAGGUGCUGCAUGGUUGUCGUCAGCUCGUGCCGUGAGGUGUCGGCUUAAGUGCCAUAACGAGCGCAACCCUUAUCUUUAGUUACUAACAGGUCAUGCUGAGGACUCUAGAGAGACUGCCGUCGUAAGAUGUGAGGAAGGUGGGGAUGACGUCAAAUCAGCACGGCCCUUACGUCCGGGGCUACACACGUGUUACAAUGGGGGGUACAGAAGGCAGCUACCUGGUGACAGGAUGCUAAUCCCAAAAGCCUCUCUCAGUUCGGAUCGAAGUCUGCAACCCGACUUCGUGAAGCUGGAUUCGCUAGUAAUCGCGCAUCAGCCAUGGCGCGGUGAAUACGUUCCCGGGCCUUGUACACACCGCCCGUCAAGCCAUGAAAGCCGGGGGUACCUGAAGUACGUAACCGCAAGGAGCGUCCUAGGGUAAAACUGGUAAUUGGGGCUAAG
rnacentral:rRNA from 1 species